rnacentral:lncRNA from 10 species
CUUGUGCCGGUUUUGAAAGAAAAUAUGGUGUCCGGAAUUUCAAAUAAUACUGAGUUAUGGGAAUUGCCACAGUAAGUAAAGAUCUACAGUCGGGGAAAAGGAUUUAUAAGGCGUAUGUUUUAUAGCUCCUGUAUGAGUAGGCUUUUGAUGCAUCAUAUACAUGCUUUGAAGGUAGUAUUAUGCAGGGUACUAAAUUGAGUUAUACUUACAGUCAAUGAAUAUCAUUUGACCAAUGACAUUUUAGAAAAAUAUCUAUAUAAUUUUCCAAGGCCAUGUCUUAGAAAUUUUGCUCUGAGUCUUAUAUCUGAACAUCUCAGAGAAUUUUUAGAGAAAACAAUUUCACAGAUAAUGAUAAUUAGAUACCUUCACUUUGCAAAUAUAUGAACUGCCUUUUGAAUGGCCCUUUUAGUAAAAUGAGAUUGAUUACGUCCUCUUCAUAGCAGAGAUUUUACCACAAAACAUCAAUCUAUUAUGAAAAGUACAUACGUGUAACCUGGUAUCCUUGCUUGGCAGGGUGAUGUUACAUUUAGGUACAUGAACUACCUACUGUGAUAAGCUCCCUAUCUCUUCAAAUAUUAACUCUCCUGCUCAUUCCUGUCUGAUGCCUGAAAUUCCUUUAAUAUUACAAAAAGCUUAAUCAAUUUAUUAAUAAUCCUACAUUUUCUUGCAUUAUUGCUGCCCAGUGAUCUGGAUUGUUUGUGGUUGUUGAUUGGAAAACUAAAAAGUCUUAGAAAAUAUCAUUCUAAUGUUAUUGUAUCACAGUGAAUUACCCACAUACAAGCACAAAGUAAAGCUGUAAAGCAAUUAAUUCAGUUCUUCAAAUAAACCAAAAAAAGAAGACAGUGAAUGAUAACUAUCAGUUUCUUUCUUAAUUUGAUGGAUGAAUUUAUUCACUCUCCAUUUUUCUCUCCCAGCCUAUUUGUGGUUUUGUAGCAAAAAGAUUUCUACAUGGCUUUUUCUGUAAUUAUUUUGUGAAAACCCACAAUAU